UAACUGUUGCUACAUGGAUUUAAGACCGCCGUAACAAUAGCAGUCAAGGGACCCUACUUCAGAGUUACAUUUUUCUCUGUGGAAAUACCUGCCUUAAUGCCAUUGGAAUACAGACAGAAGUACUGAGUGACAACAUGAUAGACUAGAAGUCUCCUGACUUUGGAGUCAGACUGACGCCCGCAAUUGGCCUCAGUGUCUAUGUCUUUAUACAAGGAAUGAACCUUGCUGGAUUGGGAGGAUUAGAAAUGACAUAUGUAAAGAACUCACCGUACUUUACAAAUACUGUGGCCCAUAGUGGACAUUCAAUAAUGGAAGCUGCACAUAAGGACGAUGUAGUUUAAAGAAAAGAGCCCUGGCCUGGGAACUGGGGUACCAGGGUUCUGUUACCCAAACACUGGGUUCAUCUCUUGGUGGGUGUCAAGUCAAAAGACACAACCAAGCCAAAGAUCUAUUAGGGGAACCACUGACUGAAGCCACCCGCCCUAGCCAGGCCCGAUAGUAACCACUUGCAUGAGUUCUCUUACAACAAGAUGUCCUGGUAAGGAAUGUGGAACUGACAAGCUAUCAGCAACCGGGAUAAUUUGGGAAAGGUCAAAAGGAGAGAGGAGAAACCAGUCCAUAUGUCCUACCAACCUCCCAGAAUCCUUCUCGCUGGAAUCCAUCUUGGCUGAGUGAUGCACACGCCACCAGGAAGGACCCUGAGUCAGAGUGAUUGGCCAGAGACAACCAGGAAACUAAUGCCAUUACCAUAAAACCGGAGACUGCGAGCCACGAAGCAGAGCAGUUCUCCUGGGUUCCCUUACCCUGUUGCUCUCUGCCCCGGCGCCCCUUCCCAAUAAAGUCUCUUGCUUUGUCAGCACGUGUGUCUCCUUGGACAGUUCAUUACCAAGUGUUAGACAAGAGCCCACUCUCGGGCCCUGGAAGGGGUUCUCCUUCCUGCAACAAAUGGUGACUCUGGUGGGCCUCUUCUUCGCUACGACUGACAUCCUGGCCACUCGGGGUACUCAGGGACCAGCUCGCCUGCCGACAGACCAGACCCAGAGGCCGCAACUGGGACCCUUUUGUCCCACAUGUCCUUCUGACACACAUGACUGGCCAGAGUGCCCUGACCAGAAUUCUGACCCUGAGGGAACAAGUCCUACUAGGAGAACUUGACUUUCUCUCCCUGUGCCUUGAGACCAGUGCUCUCAGGAUCACUUAUCUUAUCUAGACCAUCUCUAAUUCCUGAGACUGAGGGGGAAAAAAAGGUAAGAAGACUUUUAAAUUUUACCUAUUCCAACUGUUAUUUAUAAGCUAGUGAGUUUUAUAUUGUAAUACCUGAUUCAUGACUAAGCUUAGAAACGAGGCUAUGAGACCUCUGGUUGUAUCUGUCUAUAUGUUUAUGUGUGCAUUAUCUUUGUUUUUACCUUUGGAUGGUAUUAACAAAAUUAAUUUGUAAGUGGGCUCCACUUAAUUGGAUUAAAGGAAAUUAAGCGCUUAUAUAAAUUCUCAAAAACACACAGAAGGUAACUGGCCAGAAUUAAUUUUAGGUUCACGUGAACUGGGAAAUAUUCAGUAUUAAAUUAAUACCUGGUAUUAAUGUUUAAGUUUGUUGAUCUAAUUAAUAUAGACAUGUCUUUAGAGUCAUCAACAUCAAAUAUAAUACCUUUAUUGUACUUGGGUUUAAUAGAAGUCAAAUAAGACUUUAUUAUGUCUGUUGCAAAUUUUUCAGCAAGAAAAAUAACUUCGUAUGAUGAAAUUUUUAUAAGUGUAUUAAAUGCAAGUGAGAUAAGAGCUUUUGGAUGAACUUUUUAGGAAUAAUUAUGUUUUAGAAAUGUCUACUUGAGGAUGAUCUCUCCAGAUAUUUGGUAAUGUGAAAUUUUAUAGUUGUGUUAAGUUAAAUGAUGGAAGUUUGUUGAAUAGCUGGGUCAUUCCCAAAUAAAAUAAGAUGCUGAGACAUCAGUUACUAAACAGAGAAACUAAAGAUAUUUAGGACUAUUAAUGAAUAGGUUUAGUGCCACCCUGAGAUGUUCUCUAUUUGAAAGCAAAUGUGGUACUUCCAUGGUGGCACAGUGGUUAAGAAUCUGCCUGCCAGUGCAGGGGACACAGGUUCAAUCCCUGGUCCAGGAAGAUCCUACAUGCCACAGAGCAACUGAGCCUGUGUGCCACAACUACUGAGCCUGCACUCUAGAGCCCAUGAGCCACAACUACUGAGGCCUGUGUGCCUAGAGCCCAUGCUCUGCAACAAGAGAAGCCACUGCAAUGAGACACCCAUGAACUGCAGUGAAGAGUAGCCCCCGCUUGCUGCAACUAAAGAAAGCCUGCACACAGCAAUGAACACCCAACACAGCCAAAAAUAAAUAAAUAAAUAAAUAAAUAAAUAAAUAAAAUAAAAUAAAACUCCCUCUGCUUAAAAAAAAAAAAAAAAGAAGGUAUGAGGAAUAGAAUUGCAUUUUAUUAGUGAAAAGAAAGUAAGUCUGACUGAGAGCUGGUUGUUUCUGGAUAGAAGAAAAAGUGAUGGAUACAGAAAGUGAUGGAAGAUUUGUGGGGAGUGGACCCUGAAGAAAGAGUUUUGUGCAUGGUCAGGACUGGCUAAGUUUAGAAUAAAUUUAAUUGAUUAAAUGAAUUUUAAAAGUAAGCUGGUACAAAACUUGAAUUUGGCUUUUCUCUCUGUUAAGAGAACAAGUUUUCUUAAAAUGUUGAACUGCCUUUGAUAACAGAUUUUAAGUUUCUUUACCUUUUAAGCGAUAUGUUCUGUAUUUGCCUUUGAAAUCUUUUGUUACUUUGGCUAAGUGAAUAACUAUUGUUUCACAGUGACCUGUGAUCCUAUCUGACUGAGUGUUCUAACGCUUUUGAUAUUUUUCUGACAAACUUUCCAAAUAUCAAAUUUUAAUUACAGUUCUUUUGACCUCCAGCUAAGUUCGAGAUGCUUUAGAAGACCCAUGAAGCAUCUCACAGAGAAAUAUUUCAUCAGUAUGUUAAAUUACAAUACAUGGAGAGCAUUAUUACAUGAGUGAUAAACUUUUUAAAAAAUAUACUGUAUGGAACGGGAAGUGGAGUCCAUCUGCGAUGACCUCUAACUUUAAGAAGGCAAACAUGGCAUCAACUGCUCAGUGAAAAAGGAUGAGUCCUAAACCGGAGCUACUGAAGAGCAGAAACAGGAAAUUCAAGAAGCUUUUGAUCUCUUUGAUGCUGACGGAACUGGGACAACUGAUGUUAAGGAACUUAAGGUGGCAGUGAGGGCACUGGGCUUUGAACCC
rnacentral:lncRNA from 1 species